AUAAAAAAUGUGUAAAUUCGCUAAAAACGCCUAAAAAGAAUCUUCUCUUUCCUUAAUCCUUACAUUAUUUUUCCGUCUCUCCAGAAUCCACAGAGCAACGACCUUCGAAUUCUAUGUUCCGCGUCGGUAGCCCGAGGUUCACGAACUCCAGGACUACGAUACCUGAAUCCAGGCGGUACAGUUAUGUCCUCCUCUACUAACAAUAAUAAUAACCGGCGUGGCGUCUACUCCCGCAACUGCGCCAGCAGCCCAAAGGAAAUACCGUAAGACCAUCUACGGGCCAGAUGUAACGUCUUCGUCGGGAGUAGAAAAAGAAAAAUUCGAGUUCAUCGACCUGACGAAUUCACGAAGCCCAGGCACGUAUCACACGUCACCGGAACCUGAGUACGUAACAUUGACGAUACGUGAAACACGUGGUCACUCGUCUGGGCCUGCCCCCUCGGUCCCCGCCCCUGCACCACGUUCCUAGCUUCUUCCUCUUCCGCUUGGCCUACUAUCUGCGUUCCACCUUCAGCGCGCCAGCCGAUCUAACGGGAUCGUGAGUAAUCGAUGGGGCUGUUAGGCAUCGUCAGGAAUUACCGGAGGAGGCCGAUGAUGUCUACGAGCGAGAAUCCUGUCGUCAUCUUACUCGGAAGAGAGAAAGAGAGAAGCUGGACUUCCAUGGACUAUUAAUUAUAGUGAUCUUUCAUCUCCAUUCGAAUCGGUCGACGAACCCGAGUGACGUGGCGAAAUCGAAUGGCUUCUUGAGAACGUUUUAAAUUCAAACCGUAUGCGUAUGUCGUUUGAAUGGGACUUUGAAAUUCCCUAUACGAAUGUGGUACCACUGGUAACUGAAUUCCCUAGAUCUUUUCUAUACGCCAACUAGUGUCUUUUCGUCACAAUCGAUAGCUUUGACGUUCUCAAGAAAACGUCUUUUACUUCGUAAGACGAAAAGUCGGAUCUCUGUUCGAGUGGAAUUUGACACUCGAAAGUCUCGUAGGUGAUGAAAGGAAAGCAGUCGUUCUGGAAGACGUGUUUAUCUAGAGCCAAACGAAAGCUCGGACGAACUUUCGAUACGAUUGUCUGGUCGAGAUACCGAAACGCGUUUUUAUCUGGAGAAAUUUCAAGGAGACUCAUUCGGCUUCACGAUUAUUAUAAUCGGACGAGAAAUCAUUACGAAGCUCGCGUGGAUGCUUAUCGUCAUACGAGGACUGAGCGUGACAGUGAAAGUAUGAAAAAGUGAAACCGCUAUAGGUAUAUAACGUAUAAUAGUCGCAUAUAGGCGUCAGCACUGUAUAUAUAUAUAUAUGUAUAAGAAUAUUAUUUCUUUCAAACUGUUCACACCGGGUGACUAAACAAGUAUAGUUUUUUUUUACGAUUUGCACGAAAAAUCAGGAACAGCAGAGACAGGGAGAAAGGAUCGAUGAACUAUUUGAUAACGCGAGCAGAUAAGGGAAUACCCCUAGUUAAGUAGCCUUGUACGCUUUGGACCGUGGACGCCAUUGGCUUUUGUGAAGCUAACGCUGGUAGCUCAAUAUUGAAUCUGUUAGCCAGAUGAUAAGGCCUAUCGCUCUGUCCACACGCCGAGGCAACCAGCCAAGUUGCCGUCAUUUACCUAUACUAAGAAAUUGAUAGGGAGAAUCGAGAAGCGCGGAGGUGGCGACACUGCGUAUAGAUAAGGCAAAAGCGUCACCUUCCUUUUGGUAUUUCGAAAUAUUGCGAGGACAUUCGAUUUACGAAAGAGACGAAGAGAGAGAGAGAGAGAGAGAGAGAGAAGCAAUGAGAAUCAAGAGAAACAUAAUGCUUUGACAUUGAGUCGUGGACUGAUAAUACGUAUAUUUACACUCAGCUCGCUCAAGGCCCACGAAACCGGUCACGCUUUUGGUUUUCUCUUCCCGCCGCGUCGGAGGAACGAAUAUCGUUACAAUAUCGUAUUGUUUGAAGAAAGGGAGGUCACGUACAAAUUGUUCAGCCGGCAGUCUCUAAGUGUGUCAGAAGAAUUUCGAAAAUUCUUCAUUGAGGUUAUCGAUGGUAAAUAUUACAAAUACAGUCUUUUCAUAGAUAUAGUUUCUAAUGGAUAAUACCGAUAAUAAUUUUAAAUAAGGUUCAUCGAUUUAUUCAUCGACCUUCCAGUCUGCAUGCAAACAGCAGGGACAAUGCAACGAAUAGCGUGCAUGUGUCGCGCAGCGGUACGUCUGAUUUUAAUUUUGUAUUAAAAAAAAAAAAAAAGAUGAAUAAUAAUUCAUCACACAUAUCUGAAUUUCUUUGUAUACCGUAGAUAUGCACUGGCAAUGAGAAAGCAAUUAACAAAAAUUAGUAUACAUCGAUAUUCCUUAUUUAACCUUGCUUCUUUAUUAUCAGUUUGACCUCCUCGCAUAUCAAUAUUAAAACCAAUCGUUUUACCUCAUUCUCAACAACCCUGAACGUAACAUACCAGCUUGAAAUUGUAUAUUCUGUUUAUUUAGCUCGACAGCACAUAAUAAUCGGUGUACCAUGAAUGUCUGAUCAUUCAACUCUUGCUGAAAUCUAUUACCCCUGAACUUUAACACUACGGUCUAUAGUCUCUUAUCGGUAUUCUAGUACAGUACGUGCAGCAAGUAUCCUACCGACUUUGACUUCGCUUCUAUGAUGCAUAAGAACCUUCCUGGUAAUGUUUAUCCAUAUGCACGUCUCUCCUGCAUUUUCAAAGCAUUCGAUCGGUCAGCCCCGGAGAAAUGGCUGGUGGUCUCACCUUCAACCGAUACAUAAUUAUAGCAGCGACGGUUAAGGUCGCGUCAAGGCGUAUUUUUAUAUCGCGACCACUCAUCGAGGUAGCGUGCGAGGGCACGCAGA